rnacentral:tRNA from 1 species
GGAGGCGGAUGAGCGCUGGUGUGCUUGCCGGACUUCAAAUCCGGGUCUUCCCCCAAAAGGGGAAGGGUAGGUUCGAUUCCUACCCGCCUCCGCCA